rnacentral:rRNA from 1 species
UACGAAGGGGGCUAGCGUUGCUCGGAAUCACUGGGCGUAAAGCGUGCGCAGGCGGCGCUGUAAGACAGGUGUGAAAUCCCCGGGCUUAACCUGGGAACUGCAUUUGUGACUGCAUCGCUGGAGUGCGGCAGAGGGGGAUGGAAUUCCGCGUGUAGCAGUGAAAUGCGUAGAUAUGCGGAGGAACACCGAUGGCGAAGGCGAUCCCCUGGGCCUGCACUGACGCUCAUGCACGAAAGCGUGGGGAGCAAACAGG